AGGUCAUGUAAUGACACUGUACGGGCAUCUCGAGCCUUUUAAUACCUUGAGCAGUGUGACCACCCCGUAAGCAGCGUCCAGAAUUUCAAAUGGCAUUGCAAGUCUGCUAAAACUGUCAUGCACACUCUUUAAAUCCUCUUAAGAGAAUUGGACAAAACAGAAACAGCCAACUUAAAAACAAGAAAAGAGAUGCUAACCACCUGUGAAGAACAAGAAAGGAAACAAAUUCUGAGAGCAAAGUAUAGUUGUGUGAUCUAUUUCAAAGGUUUAUACAAUGUCCAGCACCACAGUAUAUAUAUGCAUUGGAAGGAUAAAUUGAACAAUGUGACUAGUAUCUGUUACCUUUUGAAUGCUGAUUAAUGUUAAUAGACAGUAUAUAACAAACUCUGAAGCUCGAUUACUUGUGACACCACAAAACUGAAGAGUGGCAAACAGUUUCCUUCUAUAACCUUUCAAUUCAGUAACUACCUCUGCCACAUGAGAACUGAUAUGUCAUCUUAUUUUAUAAUGAUGUAUGUCCUCUCAAAUUGUCUUUUCUAAUGAGUCCAUAAAGCAUGCUUUGUGCAUCAUACUUCCAUAUUCUGGUAGAAAAGCAGGAUGUAUCUUUUUUAUUUAAUUCAAGACACUUAAUCUUUACUAGGCUUUCAUGACAUUGCUUGAUGAUUUGGGCUUCUGUUUAGCAAGUAGUCAGACUUACUUUCUUAAAGUCUCUGUUGGCUACAGAAGAAAAGUUAUUUGAAAAUGAUAGAAGAAAACUGAGAUGUUGGGUGCGAGUGGCACCCUGAAAAGCAUUGGAAGACCUCUUCCAGUAGGCACACUAUUAAUAUUUCUCCCAGUUCAUAAGAAAGCCCAUUUCUGAUACCAAAAUAGUACCAUAGCUAUGAUGCCUUAUGGAAUUUAUCUAAGUUUCUACCUAUCACCAAUUAGAAAUUGUCAAUAGAACUGGUUAUUUGCAUCUAAAUGUUGAUUUCAUGUACCUAUAUAACUAAUUAUUUAAAAUGUGUUUUACCAGGUGACUACCCGAUUUUAUGUAAAAUAGUUAUACACAUCUUAGAAGAUGUGCUCCUUUGACUUAAGUGUGUGACUUUUAUAUACUUGGGCGACUAAUGCUUUAUGUACUUAUUGUUUUUACUAACAAGUUUGUCACUAGGCACCAAGGAAUAAUUGUGAAUCUGUAAUGCAGAUCACACAAGCACUAUAGGAUCAUAGCUUACUAUUAUUAAAAAUAAAUCAUAAUUUUCUACAAAGUACA
rnacentral:lncRNA from 1 species